rnacentral:rRNA from 1 species
AGAGUUUGAUCAUGGCUCAGGAUGAACGCUGGCGGCGUGCCUAACACAUGCAAGUCGAGCGAUUCUCUUCGGAGAAGAGCGGCGGACGGGUGAGUAACGCGUGGGUAACCUGCCCUGUACACACGGGUAACAUACCGAAAGGUAUGCUAAUACGAGAUAAUAUGCUUUUAUCGCAUGAUAGAAGUAUCAAAGCUCAGGCGGUACAGGAUGGACCCGCGUCUGAUUAGCUAGUUGGUAAGGUAACGGCUUACCAAGGCGACGAUCAGUAGCCGACCUGAGAGGGUGAUCGGCCACAUUGGAACUGAGACACGGUCCAAACUCCUACGGGAGGCAGCAGUGGGGAAUAUUGCACAAUGGGCGAAAGCCUGAUGCAGCAACGCCGCGUGAGCGAUGAAGGCCUUCGGGUCGUAAAGCUCUGUCCUCAAGGAAGAUAAUGACGGUACUUGAGGAGGAAGCCCCGGCUAACUACGUGCCAGCAGCCGCGGUAAUACGUAGAGGGCUAGCGUUAUCCGGAAUUACUGGGCGUAAAGGGUGCGUAGGUGGUUUCUUAAGUCAGAGGUGAAAGGCUACGGCUCAACCGUAGUAAGCCUUUGAAACUGGGAAACUUGAGUGCAGGAGAGGAGAGUGGAAUUCCUAGUGUAGCGGUGAAAUGCGUAGAUAUUAGGAGGAACACCAGUUGCGAAGGCGGCUCUCUGGACUGUAACUGACACUGAGGCACGAAAGCGUGGGGAGCAAACAGGAUUAGAUACCCUGGUAGUCC